GCGGUUAUGGUGAAGCGGCUAACACAUCUGACUGUGACUCAGACACACGCGGGUUCAAUUCCCGUUAACCGCC
rnacentral:tRNA from 1 species